UACAGAGGUCCCAAGCGUUGUUCGGAUUCAUUGGGCGUAAAGGGUGUGUAGGUGGCGCCGUAAGUCGGGUGUGAAAUCUCGGGGCUUAACUCCGAAACUGCAUUCGAUACUGCCGUGCUUGAGGACUGGAGAGGAGACUGGAAUUUACGGUGUAGCGGUGAAAUGCGUAGAUAUCGUAAGGAAGACCAGUGGCGAAGGCGGGUCUCUGGACAGUUCCUGACGCUGAGGCACGAAGGUCAGGGGAGCAAACGGG
rnacentral:rRNA from 1 species